rnacentral:rRNA from 1 species
GUAGGGAAUAUUGGGCAAUGGUCGGAAGACUGACCCAGCCAUGCCGCGUGCAGGAAGACGGCCCUCUGGGUUGUAAACUGCUUUUCUGGGAAGAAAAAGGCCAUGCGUGGCAAAUUGCCGGUACCAGAUGAAUAAGCACCGGCUAACUCCGUCCCAGCACCCGCGGUCAUACGGAGGGUGCGAGCGUUGUCCGGAUUUAUUGGGUUUAAAGGGUGCGUAGGCGGCUGAUUAAGUCAGCGGUGAAAGACUGCGGCUUAACCGGAGCAGUGCCGUUGAUACUGGUUGGCUUGAGUGUCGGAGGGGUACAUGGAAUUGAUGGUGUAGCGGUGAAAUGCAUAGAUACCAUCAGGAACACCGAUAGCGAAGGCAUUGUACUGGCCGACAACUGACGCUGAUGCACGAAAGUGUGGGGAUCGAACAGGAUUAGAUACCCGGGUAGUCC